rnacentral:other from 1 species
AAAAGCCUGGGAUGUUCGAUUUAACCUGUGAUUUUGAACCUACAUUUACUUUAAACGGGAUUCCUAUGAUUGCCGAUUGGAUGUCAGGCCGUCAUUGCGCAGCGGAAGGCAGAAGAGAGGUUGCGGUUGCCCACCUAGCUUUGCUAGGAGUCAAAAUACAGGCCCGGCAUUUUGGGUUCUUA